ACGGCCCGUGAGCAGAGCGCGCGUCCUCUUCCCUCCUCCCUCCGGCCGCGCCCCCGCGGCGGUCAGAUCCGGCUCCCCCCUCCCCCCCCCCCCUCGGCCGGCUCCCUCCCUCCCUCCUCCCUCCUUGUCUCGAUGGCGUAUACGGCGGUAGCGUCUGGAUCCAGCGAUCUGAGCUCCGGCCUCCCUCCCCGCCUUCCUCGCCGACGCCGGGUCCGCGCACGAAAGACGGCGGCGCGGCCUACCCAGCAGCCUGCGCGGUUCGCUGCUGCAAUGUCGCCGCGCGGCGAGGGGCCUCCAACACCGGCCGACGGAGCUCACAUGGGCGGCGAGCGCGGCACCUGGCGGUGGCAGAGUCAGAGUCUAGCGACCUCCCAUUUUUCCCUUGCAGCAGCGGCAGCGGCAGGCCUCCCCCUGCCAUGUCCGACACCACCACCACAGCGGCACCGCAGCCCAAGCCCCACCACCUCCCAAAAGCCUGAUUCAUGACCCCCGCCUCGGGCCCAUCCCCGGCGCCCGGAUCCUCCCGGCCCACUGCCACACCGGCCGACGCCGUUGCCACUUCGGCGGCCGCGGCGGCGCCCCCGUCCCGCCCCUCGGCGCCGCGCGCCGUCCCUCCACCCUAACACUCACAGGCUUCUCCACCUCCGAGGCCUACUGCCUCACCGCCGCCCACCCCGCCACGGACAGUUGCUCCUCUUCCAAAGCCCACACCGCUCUCGCCCCCGCCAACGUCCCCGCCGCUGUCUGCCCUGCCGACGCCCACGCUCUCACCGCCAAGAACGCAUCCACCAGAGUCCCCGGCACCUGCAUCACCUCCUGCCGCCACUCCACCACCCGUUCCGGUGCCAUCAUCACCGACUAGCCACAAGCCAUCGUGAUAUGCACCAUUAUAACUUAAUGACUGAUAGUUGCAUGUAUAGGUAUUUGUACUGGAUGCAAGCAAAUCAAGGUGCUCAAGGAUGGCCUUUCAGCAGUUCGUGUGCCGUAUUCUUAUGGUUUUGCAAUCAUUCUGCUCAAAAUCCUUGUCAAGGCUGCGACAUUGCCUCUAACCAAAAAGCAGAAUUUACAGCCGCAGAUUAAGGCAGUCCAGCUGAGAUAUGCAGGCAACUAGGUUUGUAUAGCUGCCGGAAAUUUCAACCAUUGAUUGUGCUCCCUACAAAAUUAUCGAGAACAGCCGUCAGUUUUGACAUAGCUGAAGAUAAGAUGAAGCAACAAUUGAAGUUGUUUACAGCGACAAGUAGCUACCUUACACAGAUAUAACGGCAAUUUUUAUAGGGCAUAAAGAAAAUAGUAAAUAUCAUAUGUGAGGAAAACAGCUAGUAUGAUAUCCAAAGAUCAAUGAAGAAAAUAGCAAGGGUGAUAUGUACUGUAAGUAGGAGAACAUGGAAACAUGGUAAGAGCACCUAAAUAAAAAAGGUUUUUGCAAGGCUAGGUGCAGAAAGAUUCUUUGGUUGAUAAGAAAUUAUAAUAUCGUGAUGCAGCAAAUGGAUAAAUUGGACAUAGCCGUGUGUAGCUAUUUGUAGCUAAUCUAUUUGUUUCAUUUGAGGUUUUUAGCAAGAGCAUACCUAGGUUUGGGAGUGUCGAACACAGUCAUC